CAAAAGUUCCCUAAUUUUCCAUGCAGAACUUUGACCCACACGGUUAACUAAUAUUCAGCUCAUCGCCAGAUUUUCCCUUUAGGAGGAAAACUAACGUGGUGGUGAAUUCAGUUAUCUCCUUAGUGUAAUCCUAUUUAUUUACGAAGAAUGUACAGCCACGUCCCAUUUCCUUGCACGCAGAGGAAGCAAAUGGGAGGGAAUACGGCGCGGCGGUCCAAGUUUGCUGCUCUCGCCAGGAUGCUUGCCCAGAAGAAGCUGUCCCUUGGCUUUUUCUCAGGGCCAUGCACCACUGCUUCUCCCACUGUCUGCUGGCUCUCUCGUGGUGUUUCCGCUCCCUGACAUGCACGCAGGCAAACACAGCUGCAACCAAUCUGCGCUCUUGCUGCCGCGCUCGCAAGCAGUCCCCGGAGAACUCUGACUUUCCCCAAAUUAGUGCUUGCUCAUACGAAUUAGCUCAUCCCAGUGCCUGGCUGUGCAGUCCUGUGCCCUGGGCAGCGGUUUCUAGUUUGUCGCUAUCUUACGCCAUAAAAGAGCUUAAUUGCUCCUUCCUGAAUGAAGCCUGGCCAGCGUGCCUGUUGGUUUUAAUGAGGUUUGUGAUUGCCUAUAGAUCAAAGCCCUGCCCUGAUGGGUUCUGCUUCCACGGCAUAGAAAGGAAAGGGGAAGUGACCUCCAAAGUAAACAGAACAACUGGGAACAAAAUUAAUUUUCAUACACAAUUUCUGCUGUGACUUGGCGAGUGCCAGAUUAACUGCAUGAAGUAGGAGACUUCCUACAGAAAGUAAACCCUCCCCAGAACACGCUAUAACGAAGAUUUGAAGAGUAAGAGCACAACCUGUUUUUCAUCCGAGACCUUGUCUGUAUCAUCCUCCAAACCACAGGCCUGACCCUGUGAAAAUGCUUCCAUAAAGCUUGUGGCAGUGGAGGAGCAAGUCCCAGUGCUUCGCCCUAGCAAGGCUCUGAUGAAGAGGAAUUGCUGUGCUGAGACUGAUCAGUGAUGUUGUAUUACAUGCUGUAACAUCGGGUGAUAUGAUACAUAGUUCCCCUCUCUCCUGCGAACUUGGUGCCAUCAGGGAACCUUACCAAGACAUAUUUGCAGCCUGUGGAUCUAUUUUGCAGGGCUAAUGAGAGACAGUUUUGUUUUGUGAAUGAAACUUGGAGCAAGGGAACAAAACAAGUCAAUGACCACCCUUCUCUUCCAGCACCAUCUCCAGCACUCCCACGUUUGUGAAAUGGAUGAGACCUGGUCUUCUUUUCCGUUCUUUUUCCUGUUCUUCUAACAUGGUUCCCAGACAAAAUGUCUCUGCUGCUACUGUUCAAGGAAAAAAAAGCUAAAACCCUGCGAGCAACAAGCAUGUUUAGGCAUGCUGAGCAUAAUUUUGCUUCCAGUGUGGGAGGGCCCUAAAUACUUGGCCUCCCCAGUGAAAGAAAUGCACAUUCAAGAAAUUCAGCAGACACUGCAUUAACCCUUAGUUGCCAACCACAGUUAUACAUGUGAAUGCUGGAGCCCAGAACUCCAUUUCCUUGGGGCAGCUGCUUGUGCAUUGUACAAAUUUUGUGAAAUCUUGCUGUUCAAAUAUGCUCUAAAAAGGCUGUCAAGAAAAAAUUACAAAUAUGGUACUAUCUUGCUGGUGUAUCUCACCUCCUCCUCCACAGAAGGCAUACAAAAAAGCUGUAUUUAUUACCAGCUGACAUUCUCUUUUUCCACCUGACCAGCCUUGUCCCCUGAUGGUUUUCCCAGGUGGGGCUCUGUGGCUUUACCACGCACCCCGUGGUGACACCAAGCUGUCACCAGCGCCGGGCUUGGCGCUGGCUCCGGGGGACACCCAGCACCACAGCUGCUGCCGGCUGCGUGAUGCUGACACCAGGAUCUCCAGUAAGAAAGCAGUGGAGUGGGGAAGUGCCAGCGACUGCCCCCCAAAAGCCUUAUUCCCUUUUUGUCUGACAGCUUUGGCAAUGCUGGCAACAUGUGCUCAUUUCCCCAGUGGUCAUUUGGGGCAAGAAAGGAGAUUAUUGGGGCGCAGAGAAGAAAUAGGGUGGGAAGUCAUCUGGAGGUUGUGUCUCUUCCUAAGGUUUUUUUAUAUAUAUAUAUAAUAUAUUAACAUUUGUCAUUUAGCAUUUACUGUAACAAACCCGCAGUGUGCGACAGACAAUAAAAAUCCCACAGUGACUUAAA